GACGAACGCUGGCGGUGUGCCUAAAACAUGCAAGUCGAACGGACCUUCGGGUCAGUGGCGAACGGCGGAGUAAUACAUGAGUAACGUGCCCUACAGACGGGGAUAUACGGUCGAAAGACCGGGCAAUACCGGAUGAGAUGGCGAGGAGGCAUCUCCUUGUCAUGAAAUGGUUUUUCGCUGAAGGAGCGGCUCAUGACACAUCAGAUAGUUGGUGGGGUAAUGGCCUACCAAGUCUACGACGUGUAGGGGGUCUGAGAGGAUGAUCCCCCCGAGUGGGACUGAGACACGGCCCACACACCUACGGGUGGCAGCAGUUGGGAAUCUUGCGCAAUGGGGGAAACCCUGACGCAGCGACACCGCGUGGAGGAUGAAGGAUUUCGGUCUGUAAACUCCUUUUGCUAGGAAAGACUUAGGACGGUACCUAGCGAAUAAGCUCCGGCUAACUACGUG
rnacentral:rRNA from 1 species